AUGACCCUUGGCUGCGCGUGCCCGUCGCCGGAGCGCGGACAUGUAGCCGCGCGCGUGCCACCUCACCCCCUCGCUGCCCCGGCUAUAUAAGCCCACCCCGAGGUGCCCCGACCUCACCAGCGGCCUCACCUCACUCCCAGACCCCUCCCUAGCUAGUCUCCCGAGCCCCGGAGCCCCUCCUCGCCGCAGUAGGCCGCCAUGGCCGCCGCACGGCCUCGGCUAAAUUCGGCCGACCCGAGCCCUUCCCCUCCUCCUGGCCGCCACCAGAGCCCUCCACCGCACCCCUAGAGCCUCCCCGCUGUUUCCCUCCUCCUCUGGUAGCCCCUGGCCGCGAUGCCCAACCCCCACCCGAAGCCAUCUCCGCCGGAGUCCAGGCCCUCGUCGCUCCGGUCCUCCUCGGUGUUCGUGUGACCCUGGAACGGAUGCGCGGCAGCCUCCUGAGUUCUUCGGUGGCCGUGGUGUCACAAAUGGUGGCCGGAGUUGGCCGGAAUCCUGCCGGCGCCGGCGACCCCUCCCUCUGUUCUGCGCCGCAUCGGGGGAAGAAGAACGAGGAGCGGGAGGAGACAGGUCAAGGCGCGGGCCCCACCUGUAAGCCGCACAGAGCCCGGCCCCGCCCUUGCCAGCGUGGCAACUGGAGGCGUCUUCGCCUGAAGUGCGCUUACGCGUGGGUAAAGCGUAAUCCUCGCAGCGCGUUUCCGUUUUCAGAAAGCGUCUUCACCCUCUCCUUCAGGGAAAUUUGCAGGUAAUGCCAGAUUUGAUUGCUUGUUUGUCGUGGAUCCCUUGUUUGCGAGCUAGGAUAAGCGUUGCAGCCAGAGUCCCUCCGGAGUGGAGUUCAUCACCGCCUUUGUUGUUCCACUGACAGUAGUCAUUCCGCUGCGCCGAGUUGUUCUGCUAUUUACAUAGAGCUACUGUGGCAGGCAUAGUGUCGCCAUGCCGAUGUAAUCCCCUUGUACCCGAUAUAGCUUGCAAUAAAGAGCUGUUUUGUUCUA